rnacentral:rRNA from 1 species
AGAGGGCAAGUCUGGUGCCAGCAUCCGCGGUAAUUCCAGCUCUAAGAGCGUAUUUGAAAAUUGUUGCAGUUAAAAAGCCCGUAGUUGAAACUAGACUUAUUUUGAUGUUCGUGGAGGAUUCAUUCAAUACGGUUUAAUGGAAGAAUAGUCAAAAAUCUAACAUAUUAUUUGAAUGAUUGGUUGUUUUAGAACAAAAUUCGAAGGAUGAAAGGAAUGAAAAUGAACUAUGAUGUACACUCGAUUGAAAAAGAUUUGGACCUGUAAAAAAGGAAAGGAAGAAAAUCAAAAGACCAUAAUUAUAGGCCGGAUAAAGAAUUCAGGCUUUAUUGCGGUGUGUUUAGAAAAGUUCGCUUUGAACAAAUUAGAAUGCUCAGAAUAGGCUUAUGCCGGAAUACAUUAGCAUGGUACGACGAAAUUGAUUGAUAUAUUUUUGUGUGGAGGUCAAAGAUUGACUGAGAUGAUUGAAAAUUAAUUAGUAUGAAACUGAUGUUUGACUUUGAAAUCAUUUAGAUUUAGACUGGAAUAUAGCUUUAAUGUUUAAUAGGGGUAAAUGGCGUGAUUGUUAUUGAAGGGGUAGAGGUGAAAUUCUAUGAUCCUUUCAAGAACCACUACUGCGAAGGCAUUUUACGAAGAUGCUUUCAUUAAUCAAGGACGAAGGUUAUGGGCGCGAAGAUGAUUAGAUACCGUUGUAGUCAUAACAGUAAACGAUGUUGAUUUAGGAUUAUGAAAAGUUAAUUUGAAGACUUUUGUAGCACUAUGUGAGAAAUCAAAAUAUUUGAACUCUGGGGGAAGUAUGGACGCAAGUCUGAAACUUAAAAGAAUUGACGGAAGAGCACCACCAGGCGUGGAAUCUGCGGCUUAAUUUGACUUAACGCGGGGAAACUUACCAGGAUCGGAUUUAAAAAGGAUUGACAGAUUGAUAGCUCUUUCAUGAUAUUAGAGAAGGUGGUGCAUGGCCGUUUUUAGUUGGUGUUUUGAAAUGUCUACUUUAUUGUGAUAACGAACGAGACCUCGCUUUAUUAAAUAGAAUAGGGGUGGAGGUUCGUAAUGGAAUUAUAUUUUAUUAUAAUUUGACCUAACAGAAGGAUUGUUUUCUUUGAUAUGACCAGGAAUCCUUACUUUUAUGCUUCUUAGAAAUACUCUUUACGAAUAGUGAAUGGAAGAGAGACAAUAACAGGUCUGUGAUGCCCUUCGAUACCCUGGGCUGCACGCGCAUUACAAUGAAAUAUUCAGUGAGGUUUCUAUUCUUAAAGGAACCAUUUAGAGAAGAUCUUAUAACACAUUUCGUGAUGGGGAUUGUGUUUUGCAAUUAUCGCACAUGAACGAGGAAUGCCUUGUAUUGGCUUGUCAUCAACAAGCUAAGAAUAAGUCCCUGCU